UACGUAGGGGGCAAGCGUUGUUCGGAAUUACUGGGCGUAAAGGGCGCGUAGGCGGCAUGGCAAGUCGGGAGUGAAAGCCCGGGGCUCAACCCCGGAGGGUCUCUCGAAACUGCCAAGCUAGAGUGCGGAAGAGGCAACUGGAAUUCCCAGUGUAGCGGUGAAAUGCGUAGAUAUUGGGAAGAACACCGGAGGCGAAGGCGGGUUGCUGGGCCGACACUGACGCUGAGGCGCGAAAGCGUGGGGAGCAAACAGG
rnacentral:rRNA from 1 species